GAGUUUGAUCAUGGCUCAGAUUGAACGCUGGCGGAAUGCUUUACACAUGCAAGUCGAGCGGCAGCGCGGGGCAACCUGGCGGCGAGCGGCGAACGGGUGAGUAAUGCAUCGGAACAUGUCCAUGUCGUGGGGGAUAGCCCGGCGAAAGCCGGAUUAAUACCGCAUACGCCCGAGAGGGGAAAGUGGGGGACCGCAAGGCCUCACGCGAUUGGGUUGGCCGAUGUCCGAUUAGCUAGUUGGCGGGGUAAGAGCCCACCAAGGCGAUGAUCGGUAGCUGGUCUGAGAGGAUGAUCAGCCACACUGGGACUGAGACACGGCCCAGACUCCUACGGGAGGCAGCAGUGGGGAAUUUUGGACAAUGGGGGCAACCCUGAUCCAGCCAUGCCGCGUGUGUGAAGAAGGCCUUCGGUUGUAAG
rnacentral:rRNA from 1 species